GGGCCAGUGGCUCAAUGGAUAAUGUGUCUGACUACGGAUAAGAAGAUUCUAGGUUUGACUCCUGGCUGGCUUG
rfam:Salmo salar isolate Sally breed double haploid chromosome ssa10, whole genome shotgun sequence.